UUUAUUACCAUACAAAUUGACGCCAUCUUUUAUGCUGCUGGCAGAACAGUGUGUCUCUGAUGUAACCUCGCGUCUCAAAGUAGCGGUCAUCUGAAUGAACAAGGAAGUAACAAGACCAUUUAUUUACUGUGCGAGAUGGCCAUCAUUCGUAUGUUGUUCUCUUUCCUGAACAAUCCACGAGUCAUUGAAAAACUAGCGGAGUCUCGUCCUAUCCGACGUGCGGCACAGAUCACAGCUUUUGCGAUCAUCAAAGCACAAAUCGCUGGGAAGGUUGCGACGGCGAAGGUCCUGAAGUCAGACACGCUACGCCAGGUUCGGCAAGAGGCAAACGGACGGAUUCCCCGAGAAGCUGGUGACAUCGGGACCCGGUUCAGAAGAGUGAGGGAGACUUUUGUCAAGGAGGUGAAAGAUGGCUUCAGAGACGCUCAGGGACAAAUAAAGAAAUGAAGAAAUUAAGCAGUAGUCUUAUGUCUGUAUGACAGACAAACAAUCAUGUGAACUGUUGACAACAUGACCCGUCUCACAACUGUCUAGGCCGACUACUAUUACAUCACUGAGCCAAUAUUUUAAUAUAUUGACGGGAACACUAAGCUACUGGUAAACCAGCUACUAUGUCUCAAAACAUACUCAAGAUUAAUGUUCCAUCAGGGAGAUAUCAUCAUGUAAUGAGUGUGGAGUGUUUUUCUGACUGGUUUAAAAACAAAGUUGCGCCCCUGUAAUGAAUGUUGGGGUUUGUGGUGGAUGAGUCUACUGUAACAGGUCUGGGUUUGUGGUGAGUUAGCCUACUGUAACACGUCUACAUACUGGAGACAGAGAUUUGUUGCAAUCUACCCAGUAGUCUUUAUUCAGGAGUUUGUGUUUGUAGAUAUGGAAUUGUCUACCUGAUCUGACUUGCAGAAUACCAUCAUAUAGUAUGUUUGCUGUAAUGCAGCCCCACGUCAGUUCCCAUGACAUAUUAUGACUUGAUGUGUUUGGAUUGUCCUCACCUAUUGGCCAAAUCUUAGUGUGCUUUUAAAUUGUCAUGUAUUUUACCAAUAAAAGAUUAUUCUGAUAAAAAAAAAAUGACUAGACAA